GCAAGUCGAACGAGAACGGGUUACAGUUUACUGUAACUGUCAGCUAAGUGGCGCACGGGUGAGUAAUAUAUAGGUAACGUGCCUUCAAGAAGGGGAUAACGUUUGGAAACGAACGCUAAUACCCUAUAUGCCUUUAAGACAAAAGUCUGCAAGGGAAAUAUUUAUAGCUCUAGGAUGGGACUGUACGGUAUCAGAUAGUUGGUGAGGUAAUGGCUCACCAAGUCAAUGACGCCUAACUGGUUUGAGAGGAUGAUC
rnacentral:rRNA from 1 species